rnacentral:rRNA from 1 species
GAUGAACGCUGGCGGCGUGCUUAACACAUGCAAGUCGAACGGAAAGGCCCAAGCUUGCUUGGGUACUCGAGUGGCGAACGGGUGAGUAACACGUGGGUGAUCUGCCCUGCACUUCGGGAUAAGCCUGGGAAACUGGGUCUAAUACCGGAUAGGACGAUGGUUUGGAUGCCAUUGUGGAAAGUUUUUUCGGUGUGGGAUGAGCUCGCGGCCUAUCAGCUUGUUGGUGGGGUAAUGGCCUACCAAGGCGUCGACGGGUAGCCGGCCUGAGAGGGUGUACGGCCACAUUGGGACUGGGAUACGGCCCAGACUCCUACGGGAGGCAGCAGUGGGGAAUAUUGCACAAUGGGCGCAAGCCUGAUGCAGCGACGCCGCGUGGGGGAUGACGGCCUUCGGGUUGUAAACUCCUUUCGCUAGGGACGAAGCGUUUUUGUGACGGUACCUGGAGAAGAAGCACCGGCUAACUACGUG